CUUCGCUCUCCCCCCCACAAUAACGAGAGCCACACCAGAGGCCAGAGCUGUGCUGUCUCAGCAAGCAAAGGGCAAAGGAGGCAACGAGAUGCUGUAGGGACUCUGACUCUUGCUGCCAGGCUGCAACAAGAGGAAGGGAGAUUCUGGCCCCCAACAGGUGAAAACAAGAGAGGAGCAAGGCAGGAAGCACAAAAGCAAACCUCUCUCAUGAAGGAAACAGCACAACUUCAAGCACAGCUUUCAGCACAGCAUACCAAGGAGGAACAGAAAUCCCAAGCAGAGCAGAGGGGAGGAGUGGCUUAGAGAAAAGCAAAAGCACCCCACAAAGCACACAGCCAAAACACCACCCCACAAAGGACACAGCCAACCUACCCCCGCAAAGGGGAGCAGCCAAAGGCUUCUGCCUCUCCUGGGGCAACUUAAAAAGGGGAGGUCAAUUGAAGUCUCCUCCCACCCCAGCUGUGGCCACUUUGCCCUCCCUGCUCAGUGCCCUUUAUAAGCAGAGCAGGAGGAGCCCAGCCCCAAGCUGGGCCCAUUGCGGGCCAAGGGAUCCUCCACCUGGCAUCCCAGGAGGUUGGAUCCUCGAGGGUUUUGCUCUGGGUUCUGCGAUGCAGGCAAAGAUGGAGCAGGAGCACCAACUGGAGCUGGUAAUGGACCAGCAGCAGCUGGUAAUGGAACUGAAAGCAGGAGUCAGCCACCUGCCACCCAUCCCCUCCUGAUCCCAACCCCAGAAACCCAAAGCAGCACUUGGCACAGGAGGUCUCUCGUGUUGCAGUCUCACCUUCACGCCCUGGAAUACUUUGCUUCAGCCAGCAGCAUGGGGUUGGAUACCAACAGCAGAGUCGACUUAACCUGUGACUAAGUGGACUUUAAGUGUUCUGACUCCACAGUAGAACUUGAUAAAGAAAGAUGUGAAUGGAAGCAGGCUCUGACUGCUCUGUGUAACUGAUGAGAAGCUUUCUGAAGGAGGUGAAUUUGUUUUACAGCCCUUCACUCAGCUGGUUACAGAUCUUCAAGGUAGCUGCUGGUGCAGUGUCUGUUGGAGACUGUUAGCCACUCUGAAGGAGGGAGUUAGUGGAGCAUCAUAGGAACAUGUAGAGAGAUUGGUCAGUAAAAGGCAUUUGUGUUA